rnacentral:rRNA from 1 species
CACGCAUGACACACUGCAUAUCAAUAAGCGGAGGAAAAGAAACUAACAAGGAUUCCCUUAGUAACGGCGAGUGAAGCGGGAAGAGCUCAAAUUUGAAAUCUUCAAGGUUUUACCUUGACGAAUUGUAGUUUAAAGAAGUGUUUUCUGUUGGAGUUUUGGUAAAAGUUCUUUGGAAUAGGACAUCAUAGAGGGUGAGAAUCCCGUAUUUGACCAUUAUUUCCAGCUGUGUGAUACACUUUCAAAGAGUCGGAUUGUUUGGGAAUGCAAUCCAAAAUGGGUGGUAAAUUUCAUCUAAAGCUAAAUAUUGGCGAGAGACCGAUAGCGAACAAGUACCGUGAGGGAAAGAUGAAAAGAACUUUGAAAAGAGAGUUAAACAGUACGUGAAAUUGUCAAAAGGGAAGCGUUUGACACCAGUGUUGUUUUUCCGAAAAUCAAUUACGAAUGUUUUGUUUUUGAGAAGUUAUGACUUCAUCGGCUUGCUUCUCUCUUUACGAAACUUUCUUAAUGCACUUUUCGGUUAACAAGUCAACAUCAAUUUCUUUUGUUGUAAAAGGGUAUGAGGAAGGUGGCUUUCUUUUCGGAGAAAGUGUUUAUAGCCUUGUACCUCUGCAAUCGGAGAGAUUGAGGUCUGCAGCGUAGAUCCUUCGGGGUUAGAUACAUUUGUGCUAAGUUAUAGCUUUUCAUAGACAACUUGUUGACUAUGUUAAGUCUUGUAGCUUACUCGCUUAUGCUAUUUUACCUACGCUUAGGAUGUUGAAGACUCUACAGAGAUA